GGUCGCUCAUGCAAGUCAGCCCUUAUUGAAGGAGGAGACAGCCCCGGGACCAGUUCCCAGAGCCCCAAGCACCGCCUGACACAUCAUGCAGGGCUCACUGCCAUCUCUUCUCACCAGAACAAGGCGCCUCGCCUUGGUUUGUUCCCUGCUGUCUCCCCGUUGCUGAAUGAAUGAAAGCGCAUCGAGGAGGUGAUAAAGCGGUGAGCUGGCCUUUUCCUUUGGAGAUGUCCAAGCAUUACAUCAGGGAUCUCCUUCCUGGGGCUAAGUUAUUUCUCUAAUAAAGACACGAGUCACGCUCUGUGUUAGCUGGA